rnacentral:rRNA from 1 species
AGCUCCAAUAGCGUAUAUUAAAGUUGUUGCAGUUAAAAAGCUCGUAGUUGGAUUUCUGGUGUGAGGGAACGGUCCGACCUCUGGUGGGUACUUGCUUCCUCUCACGCCAUCCUUGAGUGGUGCGUUCUGGCAUUCAGUUGUCGGGACGUUAGCCGCUCAUCGUUUACUGUGAGAAAAUUAGAGUGUUCAAAGCAGGCUUAUGCCGUUGAAUAUAUUAGCAUGGAAUAAUAAGAUAGGACUUCGGUACUAUUUUGUUGGUUUGCGCACCGAUGUAAUGAUCAAUAGGGACAGUUGGGGGUAUUCGUAUUCAGUUGUCAGAGGUGAAAUUCUUGGAUUUCCGAAAGACGAACUACUGCGAAAGCAUUUACCAAGGAUGUUUUCA